AUUGAACGCUGGCGGCAUGCCUUACACAUGCAAGUCGAACGGUAACAGGUCUUCGGAUGCUGACGAGUGGCGAACGGGUGAGUAAUACAUCGGAACGUGCCUAGUAGUGGGGGAUAACUACUCGAAAGAGUGGCUAAUACCGCAUGAGAUCUACGGAUGAAAGCAGGGGAUCGCAAGACCUUGUGCUACUAGAGCGGCCGAUGGCAGAUUAGGUAGUGGGUGGGGUAAAAGCUUACCAAGCCGAAGAUCAGUAGCUGGUCUGAGAGGACGAUCAGCCACACUGGGACUGAGACACGCCCCGGAUUCCUAGGGGAGGAAGAGGUGGGGAAUUUUGGAAAAGGGGAGCAAGCCUGAUCCAGCAAUGCCGCGUGCAGGAUGAAGGCCUUCGGGUUGUAAACUGUUUUUGUACGGAACGAAAAGCCCUGGGUUAAUACCCUGGGGUCAUGACGGUACCGUAAGAAUAAGCACCGGCUAACUACGUGCCAGCCGCCGCCGUAAGAC
rnacentral:rRNA from 1 species